AGUCGAGCGGUAGCACAGAGAAGCUUGCUCUCUUGGGUGACGAGCGGCGGACGGGUGAGUAAUGCAUAGGAAUCUGCCCGAUAGUGGGGGAUAACCUGGGGAAACCCAGGCUAAUACCGCAUACGUCCUACGGGAGAAAGGGGGCUCCGGCUCCCGCUAUGGGAUGAGCCUAUGUCGGAUUAGCUAGUUGGUGAGGUAACGGCUCACCAAGGCCACGAUCCGUAGCUGGUCUGAGAGGAUGAUCAGCCACAUCGGGACUGAGACACGGCCCGAACUCCUACGGGAGGCAGCAGUGGGGAAUAUUGGACAAUGGGCGCAAGCCUGAUCCAGCCAUGCCGCGUGUGUGAAGAAGGCCCUCGGGUUGUAAAGCACUUUCAGCGAGGAAGAACGCCUAGCGGUUAAUACCCGCUAGGAAAGACAUCACUCGCAGAAGAAGCACCGGCUAACUCCGUGCCAGCAGCCGCGGUAAUACGGAGGGUGCAAGCGUUAAUCGGAAUUACUGGGCGUAAAGCGCGCGUAGGUGGCUUGAUAAGCCGGUUGUGAAAGCCCCGGGCUCAACCUGGGAACGGCAUCCGGAACUGUCAAGCUAGAGUGCAGGAGAGGAAGGUAGAAUUCCCGGUGUAGCGGUGAAAUGCGUAGAGAUCGGGAGGAAUACCAGUGGCGAAGGCGGCCUUCUGGACUGACACUGACACUGAGGUGCGAAAGCGUGGGUAGCAAACAGGAUUAGAUACCCUGGUAGUCCACGCCGUAAACGAUGUCGACCAGCCGUUGGGUGCCUAGCGCACUUUGUGGCGAGUUAACGCGAUAAGUCGACCGCCUGGGGAGUACGGCCGCAAGGUUAA
rnacentral:rRNA from 1 species